rnacentral:rRNA from 1 species
UGGGGAAUAUUGGACAAUGGGGGGAACCCUGAUCCAGCCAUGCCGCGUGUGUGAAUAAGGCCUUAUGGUUGUAAAGCACUUUAAGCGAGGAGGAGGGUACUGGUAUUAAUACUACCAGCUACUGGACGUUACUCGCAGAAUAAGCACCGGCUAACUCUGUGCCAGCAGCCGCGGUAAUACAGAGGGUGCGAGCGUUAAUCGGAUUUACUGGGCGUAAAGCGUGCGUAGGCGGCUAAUUGAGUCGGAUGUGAAAUCCCCGAGCUUAACUUGGGAAUUGCAUUCGAUACUGGUUAGCUAGAGUGUGGGAGAGGAUGGUAGAAUUCCAGGUGUAGCGGUGAAAUGCGUAGAGAUCUGGAGGAAUACCGAUGGCGAAGGCAGCCAUCUGGCCUAACACUGACGCUGAGGUACGAAAGCAUGGGGAGCAAACAGG